rnacentral:pre_miRNA from 7 species
GACCGCCAGUGAAAAUCGAUUUUCACUGACGGUUUUAUUACGCCGACCGCCAGUGAAAAUCGAUUUUCACUGGCGGUC